rnacentral:tRNA from 1 species
GCCGGCGCUGGCGCAGGACGCGCCCGCGACAGGCGCGCCGGCCUUCUCCGAGGACGUCACCGGCUCGAUCUCGGACGCCGCCUC